rnacentral:rRNA from 1 species
UACGUAGGGACCAAGCGUUGUUCGGAUUUACUGGGCGUAAAGGGCGCGUAGGCGGCGCGGUAAGUCACUUGUGAAAUCUCUGAGCUUAACUCAGAACGGCCAAGUGAUACUGCAGUGCUAGAGUGUGGAAGGGGCAAUCGGAAUUCUUGGUGUAGCGGUGAAAUGCGUAGAUAUCAAGAGGAACACCUGGGGUGAAGACGGGUUGCUGGGCCAACACUGACGCUGAGGCGCGAAAGCCAGGGGAGCAAACGGG